rnacentral:rRNA from 1 species
GACGGAGGAUGCAAGUGUUAUCCGGAAUCACUGGGCGUAAAGCGUCUGUAGGUGGUUCAAUAAGUCAACUGUUAAAUCUUGAGGCUCAACUUCAAAAUCGCAGUCGAAACUAUUGGACUCGAGUAUAGUAGGGGUAAAGGGAAUUUCCAGUGGAGCGGUGAAAUGCGUAGAGAUUGGAAAGAACACCAAUGGCGAAAGCACUUUACUGGGCUAUUACUAACACUGAGAGACGAAAGCUAGGGUAGCAAAUGGG